GUUGUCUAUAGUGUUCCUUCUUAUUUAGUGCUUUUUAUCUUUACUUUAGCUUAAUUCCAUUGGUCAGAAUUUUUUCAAAUGUUUUUAGAUGGAUGUUGAGUUUUUUGUUUUGUUUAAUGAGAAAACAACAUUACUUAAGAUAACUUUAGAUUUGGAUACUGAUUGUUUAUUUUAGUGUUUCACAGGCUUUUUCUUCCACUCCAAAAUCUCCAGGAACAAAAUUUCUUCCAGAAUUUGACACAUUAUCUUUAAAAUCUUGUGAUUAUUGCCAGUAUAAAACUUUGCUUCCAUUUUCAAGUUUUAGUGGUUUUUACCACCAAUCUUUUAAAUUCCAAUUAAUUUAAUUUAAAGCAACUUAAAGUCGUUUGAUUAAUUUCAAAACUGCUGUUGGGCUUUCAUUUUGAACCUCUCCUAUAUGCAAACCCUCCUCCUUUUAGCCACUACCCCUUAAUCUCACCUUAGACCUAUUGGUCUUCAGAAUCUUUUUCAGAUUUACCUCACUCUUAUACCUCCUGUGCUAUAUCCUAGCUCAAGCUUCUGUGUCUGUUGUGGAAACCUCUUCGCUAGUACGUCUCACAGAGCUGAGCCUUUGACGUCUCUCUGGCACAGUUUGUUUGUGAAUAGGCUGCUGAGUGUCCUUGAGAGUGAAGAUUGGAUUCCUCAACCUCAGUUAAACAGGAAUUUCAUCACCCAAAACUACCAAGAGACUCAAGAACAAGAAGAAGGUCAUAAAUCUGAGGCACAGCCAGCUUAAGAAAUCUGCCCAAAGCCACACAGAGAGCAGCAGAGUUGGGAAAUCAGCCCAGGCAGCCAGACCCCAUAAAUACUACUCCUCAAUAUGAAAAUGCACUGCCAACAGCACGUAAGUAGCAAAAACUCUGGAAAUUCAAAUGUUUUUUCUGCUUCCCUGAAGGUAAGUCUCUUAGUUUUAUUUGCCUGUCCUUCAGCAGCACAUUAUUUGAACACCACACUUAAAAACUGGCUUAGUAUCUCACCUUUGGCCUGGUGACAAUACAACUCUCAUAAUACCGUCUAUAUGGGAGAUAGCUUCAAGCUAUGCUCCAUAAUAGCAAGUGUCAGUCUCUAAAAUCAAAGAGCUUGUCACAUGGUGUUUACUGAAAUGUCAAGAUUUUAAUAGUAAAAGGUGAGAUCCAAUUACCCCCUCCCACACACACACACACACACACACGAAACCGGCAUACAAAGUAGUGGUAUUGUCAAAGAUGAACAAAGCUGGGCACCACUUAAAGUGUUCAGGGCAGAGUUUAAUCAACAACUUACUAUGGCAAUAGGACAGUGUCCAGUGGGAACUGAAUUCAACAUCUCUUCAUACAGAGGUGACUGGACUUUUUAAAAAGAGAAUGAGAAGAAGGGGAGGGAGGUGAGUAGGGGCUCAGUAGAGUCAGUCAAGUGAAAAAUGACAAAUGGUUGGUCAUUGUAAGUGUGAUUAGGCCAGUUGUGUCUGCUAGCUGACAGUUAUUAAAGUUAAGUUUCUAUCCUCCCAAAGAGACUGGGAGACAGAGGCCCUGUCUUUCCUAAUUUCAUUUCAAAGGAAUGGAUUUCAGGUCCCUAAGAAAGACAUCCUUGAGUUGAAAGAGAAAAAUAUACAUUUCAAAGGGACAGAGUAAAGAUUCAAAAUGGUAAGCCCUUUUUUGUAAAUGCAUUAAGAAAAGGAGAUCAGGGGCCUCUCAUCAGGGGCUGGCUAGAACAAACAGUAAAUUCUUCUGGCAGCCUGGAGUCAUUCUAGACCUUGAGCUGUUAGAAACUAUGAUAGUAUUUGUUUAAGUCUUUUAAUGUAAGGAGAGAGGGAUGCACAAAAUAAUUUGUAUUGAGAGUCUGCAGUUUUUAUAGGCCAAGGUUGAAGCCUAGUUGAGAAGAAGGCUCAGAGGAAAGUAGCUAGAGUUUGGUCAAGCAGACAGUCUUUCUCAUUAUCAAAAACAAUAUUUUGUCCUAAACUUCAUAUAGAAUCUCAACAGAGCCUAAGUAGUCAAAACAACCUUGAAAAAGGACAAAGUUAAAGGUCUCAUAUUUUCUGAUUUCAAAACUUACUACAGAGCUACUCUAAUUAAAAUAAUGUGAUGCUAGCAUGAAGAUGGACAUAUGGAACAAUGGGAUAGAAUAGAAGGCUCAGAAGUAAAUGCUUGCAUGCAUGGUCCAAUGAUUUUUGACAAGGGUGCAAAGACUAUUCAAUGAAGGAAAGACAGUCUUUUCAACAAAUGGUGUUGGAAAAACUGGAUAUCAACAUGCAAAAAUAUAAAUUUAGACCCUUGCCUUAUACCAUCCACAAAAACAACUCAACUCAAAAUGGAUCAAAGACCCAAAUAUAAGGUCUAAAACUAUAAAACUCCUUGAAGAAAAUAUGGUGGAAAAGCUUAAUGACAUUGGACUUAGCAAUCCUCUCUUGGAAUAUGACACCAAAAGCACAGGCAACAAAAAUGAAAAUAGAUAAAUUGGACUAAAUCAAAAUUUGAAACUUCUGUGCAUCAAAGAACACGAUCAAUAGACUGAAAUGGCAACCUAUGGAAUGGAAGCAAAUAUUUGCAAGUCAUAUAUCUGAUAAAGAGUUAAUCCAGAAUAUAAAGAUUUCUAUAACUAAACAACAACAAAACAAACAACCUGAUUAAGAAAUUUGCAAAGGACUUGUAUAGACAUUUCUCCAAAUAAGAUAUGCAAAUGGCCAAGAAGUACACAAAAAGAUGCUCAACAUCUCUAAUCUUUAGGGAAAUGCAAAUCAAAACCACGAUGAGAUACCACUUCACACUUAUUAGGAUGGCUACCAGGAUGGCAGCUACCAGACUGUUAGGAUGGCUACUGGCCACCUCAUAAAAUAACAAGUGUUAGGUAGGAU